ACACUUACCUGGCAGGGUAGAUACCAUGAUCAUGAAGGUGGUUUUCCCAGGGCGAGGCUUGUCUAUUGCACGCUUUGAGAAUCGUUUACUUGUAUUACUGCUAAAAC
ensembl:snRNA U1 U1 spliceosomal RNA